rnacentral:lncRNA from 1 species
CCCCAUCAAAACCAGUACAACAAAACAAUUUGUUUACAUCAAUGUAUUUCUCAAAUUCCUUUUAUGCGAUUUCUUUCCAAAAAUAACAAAAUGGAUCUAUUGCACCACUCCCAUAUGUCAUCAGCGGCAAUCAUAUCCUAGCUUGCUACAAAAACAUAGUAACAUAUAUCAGCCAUGUAAUAUAGUUCUUGAGAGAAUAUUAAACAAUUUCUAUUGCACAAGGGAAUUUAUAUUCAAGGUUAAGUUGAUUGCAGGACCAAUAUAAUGAAGGAUAACUCAAGGCUAUAUAAGGUCCAACCAAGGGUGAGAUAAUUUUGUUAACUAAAGAGAGACAUAUGCAUUUACAACUCAAAUCAUGUUUUGAAAAUGUCGUGUAGAAAACAAAGAAGUAUUUACAUUUUACGUGUCCUCUUUGGACAAUUACGCUUAUCAUGUCUAAUUAUACUACAAACAUUACACUUCCUUCCGGUUGGUAGCUUCAUAUCCCGUUGAGGUUUUAACCUAAGGACUCCUGGUCGGCCCUUUGCUUGAGCACGUGGUGGAUUGAGUACAUUCACAUGGGAUUGAGUAUCAACUGAAUUAUCGCUACUACAAGGUGUAUUUUGAAUAACAAUGCGUUGAGUAGAGGGUGAUGGUGCCACAAUGUCGGGCAAAAACUUGUGUUGCAUUGAACUCCUCAAUUAACUUGGAUAAGCAAGCCUUCAACUUUUCAAAGAAUACCUUAUUUUCAAGUGCGGGUUCUACAACCUUUCAAAAAAGCUCAUAAACCUCAUGUUGUUGAAUGAAACGAGGAAAAGUAUACGGAGCUAAAUUGUUGGCACCACUUUUAUCACCCUCAAUACAUUUCAUUGCUUCCAUUGUCCAUCGCCUUAUAAUAUAAUGAGGUGGAAUCUCCAAUACAUUCUUCACACAAAAUACCUUGAGCAUAUGUGAACAAGGGAGUCCAACACGCUCAUACAAUUGACAUGUACAUGUGGCUUUCUUAUUGGAUUCAGUGAAUGUAAUAGUACGUUGGAUUGACUGGCCUUGAAUAUCUUCCAAAUUAUAUUUGGAAACUUCACCAUUGUCCUCAAUUAAUUUGAUCCAGCAAUCUACUGACUUCACAAGAUCUUCUUGAAACUUAGCAAAAACUUUGUGGGUGUAAGUUCUUGAUGCAUAUCUCUCGAUCUUAAAGGGUGUCUUUAGCACCUGUGUGGAUGUAAGAUUCUUGGAGUCAUUUUCUUUCUCUUUAAUGAACUUUUUAUCUUGUAACUUUUCAACGGCAUUCAAAAAUGUUGGUAGACUUGUUCCUGAAUUGACAUACAUCUUGAGAUCUCGAUUGAAACUUUCACUCCGUUGUGUGGUUGUCAUGCCUGCCGUGAACUUGUCAUAUGUAUAUGCAUCAGCCCAUUGACUACGGCAUGCAUAUAACCAUGGGAGCCAAGUUUAUGUUUGAAGAUUGUACUUCUCAAUCAUGGCCAUCCAUUUGUUCUUGAAUUGCUCAACUGUAUAUGAAGUAACACACUUUUGGAACACAUCAAAGAAUGAUGGGUGUGCACGAACAACAUGACCUAGCUUUGAUUUAAUCUUUUCCAUGACGUGCCACUUCUAGUCAUGAUGAUUACUAUCGGGGAAUACUUACUUAACUGCAAUGGUUACAGCCAAAUCUUGAUCAGUAAUAAUUGUGCACGGGUGGCAUCUUUCCAUUGCUUAUACCCAAUUCUCAAAUAACCAUAUAAAUAACUCUCUGGUAUCAUUGAAGAUGAGUUCACAACCAAGAAAAAUUAUGCUCAUGUGAUGAUUUACACUUAGGAUUGGGCCAAAUGGCAUACUGUAUGUAUUUGUUUGGUACGUGGUAUCAAAUGUUACCACAUCAUAAAAAAAUUGGUACGAUGAUAUAGACUUUGGAUAUACCCAUAAAACACCCAUUAACCUACCCAACUCAUCAAGUUGUACUAUGUGAAAAAAUGUAGGCUUCUAUUCCUUUUCGAGAGCAACCAACUCAUAACAAGAUUCCCAUCUUUUCCUUUUAUUUAUUUUUUUCUUCCUACAUAGGUGAUUCUCAAAGUCCUUCUCAAUGAAAGGGACAUUUUCUGCCCCACCAGCCUCUUCACUAAUGUUGUCCAUCAUAAUCAUGGAUUUAACUAUGGAAGUCUCCAUGUUGUCAAUCACCUUCUUGAAUGUAUUUGGUAUAUUUCGAUGAGAGCGAAUGAAUCUUGUUUCAGUUGGACUUGUAAGAACAUGAAUAUGAUCUUUUGCUAACUUCGUGACAACCCAUUUCUGGUUGUCAUCCUUUCUAAUGCGCAUAUUCGCCUCACAUCUACACGUAGUGUAUGGGUGAGCAUUUUGACUCCCGUCGUACAUCUGUUUAUGAAACCCUUGCCUACAACAUUCAAAAACUCGGCUAAUUCUUUCACCUUUUUUUUCUAUUUUCAGUACUUUCUCUUCUUAUACCAAACCUCAUGAGUUUUUCAUUCUUGUUGUAGUAGCCAUAAGCUUCAUCUUCAUCAUUAAAUACCUUGCCCACUUUAGGUUCGAUAAUUGCAGUUCUUGCAGGGGCCAACUCCGCAUCUACAGUUAAAGGAUCCUUAUGCCCAUUCAAUGCGACCACCGUGUCCGCAUCAAGGUCAUCCAUCUUGUUAUAAUUGGAGGAGUUGAGGGAAGAGGGCACACACAUUGAUUUAUGCCCAUUCAAUGCCACUAUUUCCUCAUCAGAGCGAAUGUUAUGGUAGGAUUCUUCUACCAUAGCAUCAGCAUCAAGGUUAUCCAUUUUGUUAUAAUUUGUGGAGUGGAGGGAGUGGGGCACACACUUUGAUAACGAGGCAUCCAUAAGACAUUUCAUUCCAUUCCUCUAAGCCAUAAAACAACAAGAAACAUGGAAACUUUCACUUUCAACCAUAAGAAACUUUCACUUUCAACCAUAAGACAUUUUAUUCCAUUGCUCUAAGCCAUAAAACAACAAGAAACAUGGAAACUUUCACUUUCAACCAUAAGACAUUUUAUUCCAUUCCUGUAAGGAAAAUUAAUCAUAAAGUGAUACAACAUGAAAAUUAAUCACAAUAAGGAACUUUAAUUCCAAAAUUUUGAGCACUAUUAGAUAAAAAAAAUACACAAUGUAACUAAAGCAAAAAUUUAAAUUCUACAUGGCACUUGAAAAUAUAACCUCUUCAUCCCAAAAAAAAGAAAAAAAAACUAAAACAGGAUGAUAGUAUCUAUAAUAUUAAUAAUUCUUUCAAUUGUAUCUAUUAAAAAACACAAAAAACUGAUGAGCAUUUUGCCCUAUUGUUACAAUAAGAUUUUUUUUUUUUUUUUUCUUAUAGAAAAAUCGAUAAUCUAGGGGUUUUGGAUAAUAAUGAAUUUGAAUCAUUUUCUUUUUUUAAUUGGGGGAAUACUAGAGUGGGGAAAAAACAAAACAAUCUUUCGACACUUACAAAUACGAAAUUUUGUCAGCUAUUGAUUGAUUGCUUAAUAUAACACAAAUUUCUUUAGAGCAUUGUUUUCCUCUGAGGCAUAAAUUUUGGACACCAUUUAUUCCUCAAUGCAUGGAUUUUGUUUAUUGUAUCUAUGAAAGAAACAAAAAAAAUAAAAAAGACAGAUAGAGGGAGGAAAAAUGGGAGAGAGUGAGAAAGGUGGAGCAAAAAUUUCUUCACCAAUUUGGUCUUGCGUUGGAAUAUCUUGGGUUGAUUUUUUAAACAAAAAUGGAGUAUCUCUAUGGAUUGAUUGCUUUGAGAGAGAGAGCCAUUUGAUCAUUCUGUAGGGAGUAGAGAGUUCUUACCGAUUUUGGUUAGAGAUUAGGGCUGAUUUUAAUCUAUCCCUUAUCCUUCCACUUUCUGCAUUGGGUUUCCACGCUGAGAGCUUGGUAGGACGGGGGGCGGAGCAAACAUGGGGGAGACGGAGAGAGAGCUUUGGGGACGACAAAUAGAGAGAUAGAGAGAAGACAUGAAGCUUGGUGGGACGGGAGAAGAGAGAGAGAGAGAGACGUGAGAGCCCCU